rnacentral:ncRNA from 2 species
UUCCGACAAAGGCAAACUUACUGAAAGGUAAGGACGCAAAGCUACAGGUCUAAGGAAUUUUCUAUGACGGUUGAGCUACCGAA